AGCAGCCGCGGUAAUUCCAGCUCCAAUAGCGUAUAUUAAAGUUGCUGCAGUUAAAAAGCUCGUAGUUGAAUUUCGGGACUAAUAUGUCGGUCGUGCCUCGGUACGUACUGGCUUAUUGGUUUCUCCUUUCUGAAGAACCAUGAUGUCAUUUAUUUGGUGUCGUGGGGAAUCAGGACUGUUACUUUGAGAAAAUUAGAGUGUUUAAAGCAGGCUUACGCUUGAAUACAUUAGCAUGGAAUAAUGAAAUAGGACGUUUGAUUCUAUUUUGUUGGUUUCUAGGAUCGACGUAAUGAUUAAUAGGGAUAGUUGGGGGCAUUAGUAUUCAAUUGUCAGAGGUGAAAUUCUUGGAUUUAUUGAAGACUAACUACUGCGAAAGCAUUUGCCAAGGAUGUUUUCAUUAAUCAAGAACGAAAGUUAGGGGAUCGAAGACGAUCAGAUACCGUCGUAGUCUUAACCAUAAACUAUGCCGACUAGGGAUCGGAUGAUGUUAAUUUUUUAAUGACUCAUUCGGCGCCUUACG
rnacentral:rRNA from 1 species